rnacentral:rRNA from 1 species
AAGGAGCGACCUAAGGCAAAACUGGUAACUGGGGCUAAGUCGUAACAAGGUAGCCGUACCGGAAGGUGUGGCUGGAACACCUCCUUUUUGGAGCUUA